UUGAAGGCACGCCCCAGGGCCAGCACUU
rnacentral:piRNA from 1 species